GCGCACGUGGUCCAAUUGGCAGAGGCAUGAGGCUUAAAAUCUCAGGGAUGGCGGUUCGAAUCCGCCCGUGCGUACCA
rnacentral:tRNA from 5 species